rnacentral:rRNA from 1 species
UAGGGAAUCUUCGGCAAUGGACGGAAGUCUGACCGAGCAACGCCGCGUGAGUGAAGAAGGUUUUCGGAUCGUAAAGCUCUGUUGUUAGAGAAGAACGUUGGUAGGAGUGGAAAAUCUACCAAGUGACGGUAACUAACCAGAAAGGGACGGCUAACUACGUGCCAGCAGCCGCGGUAAUACGUAGGUCCCGAGCGUUGUCCGGAUUUAUUGGGCGUAAAGCGAGCGCAGGCGGUUCUUUAAGUCUGAAGUUAAAGGCAGUGGCUUAACCAUUGUACGCUUUGGAAACUGGAGGACUUGAGUGCAGAAGGGGAGAGAGGAAUUCCAUGAGUAGCGGUGAAAUGCGUAGAUAUAUGGAGGAACACCGGUGGCGAAAGCGGCUCUCUGGUCUGUAACUGACGCUGAGGCUCGAAAGCGUGGGGAGCAAACAGG